GGUGUUCUUUAUCUCUCAUCAUACUUCACGUGUUCUUUAACUCUCUUCAUAGUUCAGGUGUACUUUAUCUCUCCUCUUAGUUCAGGUGUUCUUUAUCUCUCCUCGUAGUUCAGGAGUUCUUUAUCUCUCAUCAUAGUUCAGGUGUUCUUUAUCUCUCCUCAUAGUUCAGGUGUUCUUUGACUUUCAGCAUAGUUCAGGUGUUCUUUAACUCUCCUCAUAGUUCAGGUGUUCUUCAUCUGUCAUCAUAGUUCAGGUAUUUUUUAUCUCUCCUCAUAGUUCAGGUGUUCUUUAUCUCUCAUCAUAGUUCAGGUGUUCUUUAACUCUCCUCAUAGUUCAGGUGUUCUUUAUCUCUCCUCAUAGUUCAGGUGUUCUUUAUCUCUCAUCAUAGUUCAGGUGUUCUUUAUCUCUCCUCAUAGUUCAGGUGUUCUUUAACUCUCCUCAUGGUUCAGGUUUCUUUAUCUCUCAUCAAUCAUAGUUCAGGUUUUCUUUAUCUCUCAUCAAUCAUAGUUCAG
rnacentral:lncRNA from 1 species